UUUCCUACGGGUGGCUGCAGUGGGGAAUAUUGCACAAUGGGCGAAAGCCUGAUGCAGCAACGCCGCGUGAGGGACGACGGCCUUCGGGUUGUAAACCUCUUUUAGCAGGAAAGAAGCGAAAGUGACGGUACCUGCAGAAAAAGCGCCGGCUAACUACGUGCCAGCAGCCGCGGUAAUACGUAGGGCGCAAGCGUUAUCCGGAAUUAUUGGGCGUAAAGAGCUCGUAGGCGGUCUGUCGCGUCUGCUGUGAAAACCCGAGGCUCAACCUCGGGCCUGCAGUGGGUACGGGCAGACUAGAGUGCGGUAGGGGAGAUUGGAAUUCCUGGUGUAGCGGUGGAAUGCGCAGAUAUCAGGAGGAACACCGAUGGCGAAGGCAGAUCUCUGGGCCGUAACUGACGCUGAGGAGCGAAAGGGUGGGGAGCAAACAGGAUUAGAUACCCUAGUAGUCACA
rnacentral:rRNA from 1 species